CCUCGGCCUCCUUGGAGGCUGCAGCUCGCCAUCGCCGCAGCGCGCCGGGCCCUGUCGCCCGCAGAGGGCACUGCAGGCGGGGGGUGAGCCAGGGUGGGCGCGGAGGCGUCGUAGCCGGGCGAGAGCCCUAGCGCUUGGUCCUGAGUGGGAGGGGAGGACGGUUUAUUUAUGCAAACCAGAUGCAAAGAAGGCUCAGAAGCUGCUGAUUUGGGACUACCAUUUUCCAGACCUUUGGAUGAGAUUUUGACCCCUCACAGGGGUUUUGGCCGAGUGGCAAGGAGGUGGCAACAGGAUGUCUUGUCCAAAUGGCCCUUGAAGUCCUGGAGGGGCUGGCAUUGGGCAUAGGCCUUCUUAGGCUCAUUCUUUCCUGACCUACACACUCCUUGGAGCUUUCCAGACUCAUCUCUAUGGGAGUGAAUAUGGAACUUCUUGUCAAAGUGCCUUGGCUUGGAGACAUCAGGGUAGGAAAGAACAAGAGGAAGGAACCCCAAAGCAUGUGUGUUGGAUCUUCGUUUUCUCAGCCUCUGCACAGACGCCUCAAAGCACGAAGAUAAGGACACAUCCAUUUCAGAACAGAGUUGCCAAACACCACACAAUAUGCAGGAUUGGAGCUGGAUCUGAAGGCCAGCUGUCUCCUUCCCUGCUUCAAACACCUGCCGAAGUCCCAGUGUGAACACUCAUACACUGCACAGGAAGAGACACAUGGAUCCAGAAAAGAAAAAAGAAAAAAUGGAGCCGGAGACGUUGGAAGUGCUUGGUGUCAAAUUAGGGGGUGGAGGAGGGGUUGCUUCUAGGAGGAAGAAGUGUGGAACAGCUGUGGGAGGGUGAAUCAGGACAGAGCCGAGGAGACAGCAAAGGGUAAGGAAGGACCCAUGCCAGGGAGAGUAGAAACAAAGCUCAUCAAUGGCCUGGUCUGGUUAGCCAUGUGGCUUUUGUGUGAGAUGGAGCUUUGGCAGGGAACGGGCACCUGGCUCUGGAUCCCUGUUUCUCCUUUUGCUCUAGGGGGGGCCAACCUCCUGGAAGCCAGAAAAUGUAGGUCCUAGAUCCUUCCCUCCCAACCUCCCCCAGUCAUAAAUCACGAGUGAUUUCAUUAAAUGCACCUCCUGCUGGG